GCCGGGAUGGUGGAACUGGUAGACACAUACGUUUGAGGGGCGUAUGGCCCACGGCCGUGCGGGUUCAAGUCCCGCUUCCGGCA
rnacentral:tRNA from 1 species